GAGUGCAUUCCGUAUGGAAGACUAGUGAUUUUGUUGUUUGGUCUUUGGUAAUAACAAUAAAUCCCUUGUCUUCUUACGGCGUGCAUUU
rnacentral:pre_miRNA from 15 species